AAUAAAAUUGGCAAGUGUACCCUUCUCACUAAAACAUACUAAGGGCUAACCCAACCCCAAUUCCCUUUAUAUUACCGUUGAGAGCAUUUUUAACCGAAUGAAACCCUACCCAACUGAGAAAUCUGCAACCUCUAGCGAUUCGCACCUGAGGAACCUAUAACUUCCGGCAAAGGUUGAGAUUCUUGACGAUGAACGGAAAACACAGAAAAAUGAAGAAGAUGAGCUAAUAAAAAGCUCAAAAAGCAAAGAAUUAAUGGAGGAAACGAAGGUUUGAUCUGAAUGGAUUCUAAGGUUUAACUUGGUGGAUUCCCAAGGGGUUUCAAAUGGUUUCCUGGCCUUUAUCUAUUCUGCUCCUCUCUCAUCUAUCUAUCACCACAGGUUUUGUCUUGAGGUUGAACAGGAUGUUGGCUCCAGAAAAUCUGGAUUCACUGAAGAGAUGAUAUCCACCAUGGUUUGCGGUUGGGGAGAAGAACAGGGGUAUUUUGUGCUUGGGUUGAAAGGGUAGAAUAGGUAAUUCACAAUAUUGUUAGAGUGUUUUGGUCUUUGUAAAAGAUCUACGACGUGAUGUCAUCAGUUAAUAGUUUCGUGAUACGAAUGUAUAGCUUUUCAAAA